rnacentral:tRNA from 1 species
UCUAGAGUGGCACUGAUCUUCGGAUCGCCCACCAAGCGUUCACACUUAUCGACUGUAAUUAAGAAGAACAGCAUUUGGGGCUGUAGCUCAGCUGGUUAGAGCACCGUGUUGAUAACGCGGGGGUCGUUGGUUCGAGUCCAACCAGCCCUACCAGUUUCUGCCUGUAGUAAAUCUCAGGGGGAUUAGCUCAGCUGGGAGAGCACCUGCUUUGCAAGCAGGGGGUCGUCGGUUCGAUCCCGUCAUCCUCCACCAAGAGUUCAGAUGUAAACGAAGCCGUUUAGAUUUGAUCUUUUAGAGAUCAAGUGCUGUCUGUUCUUUAACAAUCUGGAAGAAGUAAGUAAAUUUUUAUUGAUCGCUUUAGUGUAAAAGCUAAAGCGAUGGGUAAUGAUUGUAUGUAUCAACAAACGCAACAACGUAGUACUUCUUAUUCCUAUAAACGCUCCUUGUAGACGCGCGUAGCGUCGCAGGGGCUAACGUUAUAGG